AAUGAACGUUGGCGGCGUGGAUUAGGCAUGCGAGUCGUGCGAGAAUCGUAGCAAUACGAGGACAGCGGCGCAAGGGAGAGGAAUAAGUAGAAAUCUACCCUCGGGUCGGGGAUAGCGGCGGGAAACUGCCGGUAAUACCCGAUAACGUCUUUGGACCAAAGGUGUGAUUGCGUCUGAAGAUGAGUCUACUUCCUAUUAGCUAGUUGGCGGGGUAAUGGCCCACCAAGGCGACGAUGGGUAGCAGGUGUGAGAGCAUGACCUGCCUCAUUGGGACUGAGACACUGCCCAGACACCUACGGGUGGCUGCAGUCGAGAAUCUUCGGCAAUGGACGAAAGUCUGACCGAGCGACGCCGCGUGCGGGAUGAAGGCCUUCGGGUUGUAAACCGCUGUCGUAGGGGAACAAAUGUAUGAGGGUACUCCCUUGUAUUUGAGUGAUCCUAGGAGGAAGGAGAGGCUAAGCUCGUGCCAGCAGCCGCAGUAACAC
rnacentral:rRNA from 1 species